AGGGGUAUAGCUCUGUGGUAGAGCACAUGUUUAGCAUGCACAAGGGCCGGGUUCAAUCCCCAGUACCUCCA
rnacentral:tRNA from 1 species